GAUGAACGCUGGCGGCGUGCCUAAUACAUGCAAGUCGAGCGAACGGACGAGAAGCUUGCUUCUCUGAUGUUAGCGGCGGACGGGUGAGUAACACGUGGAUAACCUACCUAUAAGACUGGGAUAACUUCGGGAAACCGGAGCUAAUACCGGAUGAUAUUUUGAACCGCAUGGUUCAACAGUGAAAGACGGUCUUGCUGUCACUUAUAGAUGGAUCCGCGCUGCAUUAGCUAGUUGGUAAGGUAACGGCUUACCAAGGCAACGAUGCAUAGCCGACCUGAGAGGGUGUUGGCCGAUGUAGGAACUGAGACACGGUGCAGAAACCUACGAGAGGCAGCAGUAGCGAACCAACCACAAAGGGAGAAAGCCGGACGGAGAAACGCCGGGGGAGUGAUGAAGGUCUUCGAAGAGUAUAGCGCUAUAAUAGGGGGAGAACAUAUGUGUAAAUAAAUGUGCGAAUCUUGACGGUACCUAAGAAGAAGGAAACGGCUAACUCCGU
rnacentral:rRNA from 1 species